AUAUCCAUACAAUCUAGCUUAUCAAUUAUAUGGAAAUAUAAAUUAAUCACCUAAAUAAGAAAGUCAGCAAAAUAAAAAGAAUUAGAAUAAUAUAUAUAUAUAUAUAUAUAGUCCGACUACUAUACUAUCGAUAGUACCAAGCCCUUGGUACUAUUGAGUUUUCUACCAUUAGAUCUACCCUUUGAUCAUUUCGACCCGUUAGAUUAUACUAUUAAACCAACCACCCACUCAACCCUAGGGGACCACUAUCAAUUUAACCAGGGACCACUAUCAUCCUAACCACACAUCCUUCAAUCCAACGGCCGAAAAACUCAAUAGUACCAAGGACUUGAUACUAUUGAUAGUAUAGUAGCAUAAUUCU
rnacentral:lncRNA from 1 species